rnacentral:lncRNA from 1 species
AGAAGUUCCCAGGCUAGGGGUUGAAUUAGAACUGCAGCUCCCUGCCUACACCACAGCCACAGCAAUGCCAGAUCUUAGCCACAUCUGAUCCUUAACCCACUGAGCCAGGCCAGGGAUUGAACCCGCAUCCUUACUAUAGAAUUCUUUUCUUCGAAAACACAUUAAAAUGCUAUUUAGCUUUUGGAGAUACUUAGAUAAAAAUGCAUUACCAAUUAAAUUAUUACCAUAUACGCACAGUAACAGUGAGGUGGGUACUGACUUUAAUGCUAAAAUGUUUGACAAACAUCAAAAGAAUAUUGCUCUGAUAUGUUCAUAAAUAACUUCAAAAAACAUAAAUGGACCUUAAAACAUUUAUUCUUCUAUGACAAAAUAUAAUUUUAGCUCAACUGUGCAUGUAAGGUGAACUCAAAUUUUUUUCUAGAAUUCCUUCCCCAGACCUCAAACAAUCAGGAAAAUAUUAUGAGCCACACAGGAAGUCCAUUUAGGAAAAUAUUACGAACUGAUAUGAAAUGUUUAACAUUACAUAAAGAGUUACAUGAAGAGUAACCAAAAAUAUAGGAAGUAAACAGGCAUAAAUCUGACCCAUAAUGGAUAUAAAUAAAUAUGCUAAAGUUACUGUCUUAGGGAUGUAGCGCAACAUUACUUCAGAUUAAGUAAACUUCACACCUGAAAAUGUAUAGUGCCAACAUUAAGAAUUUUUGGAGUAAGGAGUUCCCGUCGUGGCUCAGCGGAAACAAAUAUGACUAGGAACCAUGAGGUUUCUGGUUCAAUCCCCGGCCUCGCUCAGUGAGUUAAGGAUCUGAUGUUGUUGUGAGCUGUGGUGUCCGUUGCAGACAUGGCUUGGAUCUGGUGUUGCUGUGGCUGUGGUGUAGGCCAGCAGCUGCAGCUCUGAUUAGACCCCUAGCCUGGGAACCUCCAAAUGCCAAAAAAAGAAACUUUGGAGUAAGAAAAAUUCCUUUAUAUAAAUGACUGACAAAAUUAAUAUUAUGCUAUAAUCGCCAAGGCUAGUCCAAAUCCAGUCUAGACUCCAGGAUUAAACAAAAGAGAAGGGGAUCUUAAAGAGAAUCCUAAGGAAAGAGCUAAUUUUGAAAGCUAUGACUAUUUUGAUGUAGUUCGUUCUGAGAAUUUAUAUCCAUUUGAAUCCAACCUCAAAGAAUACCUGAAAGCCUGAGCAUGCACAGGGCCAAAGCUAAACCAGGUCAGUAUAUCCCUGCCAAGGAACAUCUUGCUCUGAAGUGUCCACCAAACAAGGAUCACUUAUCAGUUUAUUUUUUAAUUUAUUAGAUGUCAACCACUUUCAAGAUAUAUGCAAAAGUAGACUGGUUAGACCCCACCAAACUCUAAUUCAAGCUCUCAUCUCUGAAGAUUAAAAAAAUGCACAAUUCUAAAUGGUCUAUGGGUUUAAAAAAAUUGUAAAUGAAGAAUUUCAAAUGUUAGCUGACCCAACUUUAACAUCAUUGAAUGUUACUGAAGUUUUUUUAAAGUUUCCUAAGUAUUUCUUUCAAAGGCGCAAUUUAGUAACUGCUUGCAUAACAAAUUCAAGCCAUGAAACAAUUACAGCAAUGCCACAUAUCCGUGCUAUGUAAAAGGUAUGAGUUUCUAUAUUUAUGGCAUUCAGGUCUGAUAAAAGCAAAAAUAAGUGUUUCUUUCUUAAUUCACAUGAGUAAAUAUCUUCUCAAACUUAUAAGUAAAUAUUUCACAGGAUACAAAUAGUAAUAGGAUAUUAGAGCUACAGGGAAGCACAGUAUUACAAAAUAUAGUUUAUGGUUUUUAAAAAAAGGAAUCUGUCAGGUCAGGAGAUGCUUCAAAGUUUAACCCUGGGACAUAUGGCAGUAGUAAAGCAUCUAAUCUGUGUCACAAGACUUGGGCUUGAGUAAGCUUUUUUACCUAUUAAUUAAAUGGCCUUUUUGCUACUUAUAGUUACUUAGAUUUUUCUAAAUCUCCGAUUCUUCAUAUGCAAAAUGAGAACCAUAUCAACAAUAUUAGAGACUAAAAGAAACAAAUGAAAAUAUUUUAACUCAUUUAAUAUGCUUUGAAAAACUUGAAUUCAAAAAUGUUUAUGUACCAAAAAACACUUUCAAAUUUCUCUAAUUGAGUCAAACUGUAAUAUUACUGAGAAAAUGCAAAUCUAAUUCUUAAGCUAUGGUCCCAAAACGUUUUAGAAGGAAACUCUUAAAUACUACUUGAGAAAACAUGAACUGACAUAAUCAAUUGGAAUAAACACUGAUAUUGAAGACAUGACAAUUCAGACAUGCCAUCUUAAAAUAGUCUGAAUUCCCUUAAGAUUUUUCAAUAUUAAACAGAAAUUGGGACCUAGACGUAACAAUUGUUAGGUCAGCAUCUAAUUUCAAACACAAAACCUUUGUUGUCAAGAAAAUGAUAAGGAUGAGGCAAAUUAGUCCUUGAUACAACGUAAGAUUUGUUUUCACAACAAAGCACACUGAUCACUUAUAAUUUACAAACUCAUAACUCACAAUUGUUCUAAUAGGUUUAGAGUAACAAUAAACUUAAAUAUCAUUAUGAUAGUUUAUUUGCAUUCUUCUAGUCCUAAAAAAUUCAGCAAAAAACCCCCCUGAUUGAAUGAUUAAAUCAUCACUUUGAAUACUUAAAAGCCCUUUCUGAAAUUUAUUCCCAGAAAAUUCACACCAGAAAGACAUGUGAAAGUAGUCCUUUACCCACUACCUAAAAAGUCAAAACAUCCACAUUAUUUAAGCUAGAUAUAAGAUGAAAGUCAUUUAUAUUCACUCAUUAGACUUCAAUCCUAAACAAUAAAAAAAUAGAACAAAAUAGUGUAACCUCCACGUUUAUUCAAUUGCUAGUCUAUUUACUGUCAACUCUUGUGGAAGAACUAAGGACAAGUGCCACUCGUUAAACUUCAUAUAACCUGAAAAGACUGUGAAUUACAACAGACAUGGACAAUUCGAAUUAAAAAAUUUACCCUAAAGGGUAAAAGAUAUUAACUGGCAUCUCUGCACAGCACAGGACCAUGCAAUUGAAUGUUAAAUAGUGGAAAGCAGUCUUUUGGAUGCAUCCAAACAAUUUUAAUAUAAAUUUCUGCACACCUUGAGAAAUUUUCCCCAUUACUUGGAAAUGUUCAUGAUAGAGGCCUUGAGAAAUUAAGUUUAGGAGAAAUAGUAGCUAACUGCUGAAGUUUUCAGACACCACUAUGCAGGGCAACUGUAAUGAGGAGCUACCUCUUGAUAAGAUUAAACCUUCAAAGCAGAACAGUUGCUCCUAGUUUUUGAAAAUUAUUUAGAGACAUAAGAAAUUCUAGCCUAGAGACUUAUUCUGUCUCCCAAAGAAACGCUUCACUAGGUCCAUUUUAUGCUAGUUAACGUUGCUUGUUAUGCAGCACAUUAAUAAUUCAAAAACAGUCCCUUUGAAGAAAAGUUCUAUUCAAGCAUUACAAUUUGUCUUCGCGUAGCACUAAGUGGCUUUGUUUCCAGUUUCAGGGACUAUUCUGGGAUGUCAAGAGUUAUAUUAUUUACUGCUCCAAAAGAGCCCUUGUUUCACUCUCACCCAGGACAUAGGCAAAACUGAUGUUUAGAGACAACUGAUACCCAGAAG